AGCAGCCGCGGUAAUUCCAGCUCCAAUAGCGUAUAUUAAAGUUGUUGCAGUUAAAAAGCUCGUAGUUGAAUUUCGGGAUCAAUACGUCGGUCGUGCUUUCGGGUACGUACUGGCGUCAUUGGUUUCUCCUUUCUGACGAACCAUGAUGUCAUUAAUUUGGUGUUAUGGGGAGUUAGGACUGUUACUUUGAAAAAAUUAGAGUGUUUAAAGCAGGCAUUAGCUUGAAUACAUUAGCAUGGAAUAAUGAAAUAGGACGUUCGAUCCUAUUUUGUCGGUUUCUAGGAUCAACGUAAUGAUUAAUAGGGAUAGUUGGGGGCAUUAGUAUUCAAUUGUCAGAGGUGAAAUUCUUGGAUUUAUUGAAGACUAACUACUGCGAAAGCAUUUGCCAAGGAUGUUUUCAUUAAUCAAGAACGAAGUUAGGGGAUCGAAGACGAUCAGAUACCGUCGUAGUCUUAACCAUAAACUAUGCCGACUAGGGAUCGGAUGAUGUUAAUUUUUUAAUGACUCAUUCGGCGCCUUA
rnacentral:rRNA from 1 species